UGAGCAAUCUGCCCUUCUCUUCGGAAUAAGCGUGGGAAACCGCGUCUAAUGCCGAAUACGACCUCCUUUCGCAUGAUCGGAGGUGGAAAGCUCCGGCGGAGAAGGAUGAGCUCGCGGCCUAUCAGCUAGUUGGUGUGGGUAAUGGCCCACCAAGGCGACGACGGGUAGCCGGCCUGAGAGGGCGACCGGCCACACUGGGACUGAGACACGGCCCAGACUCCUACGGGAGGCAG
rnacentral:rRNA from 1 species